CAUAUAUAUUUAUUUAAUUCAUAAUAUAGCAUUUUGGAUGGGCUGGAAUAUUGUAGAGAGGGAUGAGGCUGUGUAAUCCACAGAUGCUCAUAUUUCUGUCACUAGGAGAGACACUAUUGGUCCAGAGCUCCCAAUACAAACAGGCGUGGGGUAAAGCAUUUGAUAAAAAAUAGUCCAACAAUAGUCUAAUAAAUAGUCUAGCCAAUAACAACAAUACAGCAUAUGUCUGAAGCUGGCAGACUACACCAUAAAAGGCAGUUUUGUCUGACCUGAUGGCAAUCAGUUUGGCCAACCUGUAACACACAGCCAAAUACAGCCAUUGGCUCCAAGGCUGCAGUUGGCUUCAGGAGCUAGAAAUAAGUGUAGGAGUGGUUCUUACCUACCUGCCUGACACUCUCCAUUCCUUGGAGGAAGCAGUAUCAAAUAUUUGAGUUUAUUCAAAAGUCCAUCCGUGGAUUGCUCCAUCUUGGUAGUCAUAUAUAAAUAUGUAAACCAUGGAAGUUUAGAAAAUUCACCUAGAGUGUUUUAGCCGAAAAGAACAGAUAAGUGAUUUUGCUGCAAUCUGAAUUUCACUGCAUCUAAAGAUACACAUAGAAUUGUAUAAUAAAAACACAUCCAGAUGCAGUUACUCUUACUUACAAGUAGCCAGAACCUCAAUGUGGCAUUAAAAUUUCUUUCAUACUCUCAAAACAGGUUUUACUUUAUUUUUGAUUAUUUUUGUGCUUUCUUCAAUAAGACAAUAUAAAAAGUGGAAACAAGCAUAAAUUGCAGACAUAAAAUAAUCUUCUGGUAGAAACAGUUGUGGAGAACAGGUUGAGUAGAGCAACAACAACAAAAGCUUAUGCAGUCACCUUCUUUGAAAAUGUUAAAUACAAGUCCUAUUCUCUUUGUCCAGCUGGGUUUAGCUAGAGGUAGCCAAUUACUUCUCUUAAGGUCCAUGGCAUUGCCAGGAUUCUAUAAAAGCCAAGUUAACUGAAGUAAAUAUCUGGGGCCCAUCGCACCCCCACUAAGUACUUUGUCACCAUGUUGUAUCUUAGAAGUCAUUUUUCACUGUUUGACUCAGAAUUUGGGACUUCAGAGUCAAACUUCAUUGCUUACUCCAAACCCAGUUUAAUUCCCCACUUUUUUAAGUAGGCUUAGCUUUGAGUGAUUUUUGGCUAUAACCGAAAUGUAAAUCCACCUUCAAACAACAAAGUUUGACAAGACUGAAAUGUUACUGAAAACAAUGGUGCCAUAUGCUCCAAAGACAUUUCCCCAAGAUAACUGCCAAAGAGUUUUUGAGGAGGACAAUGAUCAUUUAUUAUGUAGGAGCCUUGAUAUCUCUGCAAAAUAGAAUUAAUACAGCUCAAAUGGAGUAGUAACCAAGCUUUUCUGCCCAGGAAGUAACAAACAUCACUACGAACAUGAGAAUAUUCUGGUUAGGUCAGGAGUGGGAACCCAAAAUCAAUUCUUUUAACAAACACUAAAGGUGAUUCUAACACAGGCGGUGUGAGGACCACACUUUGAAAAACACUGCUAUACAAUGUGAUUAUUGCUGAGAGAGGGGGAUGCUUGGGGUGUCUUUGGAUCUCUAAAGAGGGAUGCAUCAUCAAGUCUAAGGAAUAAAGAGUUAGUCUGGUUGAGAGAGAUAGAGGUGAGGAAAGGUAGUCCAGGAUAGAGUCAAAAGUAGGGUGGGGAAAUUAGAUCUUUGUCCCAGGGCACUAAAAUCUAAAAGACACCACAAUAAAUGAACAGUUUUGGAGAGCCAAGGACAAGGCAAAGGAAAUUGUUCUACUGGAAUGGAGGUUGCAUUUUCUGUACUUACAGCAUUUUCACACUAUUCCUUUAAUUUAAGAAAAAUUUCUGUUGUUUACUCUGGGCAUUAAAAUUGUUAAUCAUGUUUCUGCUGCAGGCCCAGAGAAUAACUUGUGUGAAUAGUUGUGUAAAUAGUUAAACUUGGCUACCUUAAUCAAUGUGAGGGGGAAAGUGGCAAAAGAUUAAGCUGUGUAAGCAAACAGGGACAUGAAAACCCAGACUCUGUAAGGAGUUGGGACCUUCUACUGGGUGCUAAGGGAGCCAGUGAAAAGUUUGAUGAAGGGGAAAAAAAUCAUUUUUUUUUGUUUAAGAAUUUGGGGAUAUGCCCUAGGGAAGAGACAAAGGUGACUGAGAAAUGAAGGAGAAAUGAAGGACAUACAUUUUAAAGCACUGUUACGCUGUAUUGGAGCUGGGAGUAAGGAAAGAGAUUAAUAUUUAUGGCACACUUAGGAAAUGUCAAGCGCUGAGCUAAGACAGUUUACAUAUGCUAUCUUUUUUAACCUUUGAAACAGCCUUGUGAAGUAGACAUUAUUUUACAGAGGAGGAAACAGGCUCAGAGAAGUGAGGUACUUGUCCUAGGUCACAACGCUAAUAAAUGGUACAGAAACUAGGAUCAUUUGAAUCCAAAGGUUAUGAGCUUUCCACUACAGCAAACUAUUUACCAGCACUGAUGAAUUUUACUGAGGUUGUUCAUUUCCUGAUUAGCAGUAAGCACAUAUGGUAUUUAAAAUCAAAAAAGAUGACAUUGCUGCUAGAUUUAUAUUUUUGAGCCUUCCUUGUGUGUCUGCAUCAGUCUUGCCUUCCACAUUAAGUGAACAAACAAUACAUAACUGUUAUUGGGGAGGAUUAUAUACUUUGUUUCUUCCACAGAAUAGUAAGCCAUUUGGCAGCAGGUAGAGCAUUUUGUUAAUAUGUGCACUCCCAUGGCAGUAGUUUGGUACCUGGCAUCUAAUAGUUUAUUGAAUGAAUUAAUAAAUGAGCAUCCACCAAACUAGGGGAAAGGAAGAGGGGAGUUUUGACAUUUCAAGUCUCCAAUCUGAGGGAGUUGUUAUGGCUACCACUUUGUAAUUUUACAACAGUAAUAUUUUCACAAAUCCCAGAAGACUUCCGAAGCCAACUUAGCUCCUGGAAAGGGGAAAGCUCUGGCUCUCUGACAUCCCCAAUCCCUUCGAUGGAAAUUUAAAAAAAAAAAUCAUAGACUACAAGGCUCCAUUCCCUUCAACUAUACUGGUUAGGACUGGGAUGAAGUUUGUCUCCAUUUGCGUGGAGGGAUUGGCUAAGAGAAUGAAUACUGUAAACAAGAUUGCAAAAGGAAUGAUUAUUUAUCCUAUUUAAGAAAACAAACUGUUUUCAGACAUUCUUGAGCACUUCAGAAGUGUUUUAUCUGAAAAAGCAAGUACAUUUAUAUGGGAAUAGUUGGUGCAUCAAUAAUACUCAAUUUUUACUGAUUAAGUAAAGUAGGUUCCUAAAGAGCCUUCACUGUGCAACUUUUUAAAAGCCUAAUUCUCAUAACUGUGUGUACUUGGGAGUAGUAAAACUUUUUUUUUAAUAGUCUAUGACAGAAUUUUUAACAAUUCAGAUGGCCAUCCUCAAGUAGGUAGCAUCACUUCUACCUGAUCAAUUUUCUAUCCAGCAACAGCAUCUCUUGUGCAAUCUUGUCUGUAAAUCUCUGCUAAUCCAAUAAAGCUCUUCCCAUUAUCUGUGUCAUGGUUGCAUGUGUAUGUGUGCGUGACAGGAGGGAGGAAGGCAAUGAUGGAUAGAGGGAGGAAAUAAAUGUUGAUUGAUUUUGAUGUUUCCUUUAGGGGACAAAAAUGGAUGGUGUAACUUAUUUUCCCUUCCAGUAUAUUUCUCACUCAAAUUAGCAAAUUAAAAAGUUUUUUGUUCUAGUUCGAGGUGGUGUUUGGAAAAAAAAGUUUUUUGUGUAUAUGUAAUAUAUAAAGUGAAUAUGCAUAAACAUACAUACACAAGUGAAUAUAUAUAAAGUACAUAUAUGUUCACUUUAUAUAUUACAUAUACACAUUCAUGGUUUCCUAACAAACCCUUGAUGAUAGGUUUUCAUCAAAAGUAAAAUAUAAUAUGUGAUAAUUUGACACUGUUCAAAAUUCUACAUGGCCAAACUGGCCAGUACUAGAAAGGCUGACCACCCCCCGCUCUGGCUUGCUAGCUCCUUAUUCAGGGCACCUUUCCACAUUAUUUAACUAGAAUUACCCUAAUUGCUUCCAAUAUAAUUUAUAUUCUUAAAUCAUUGGGAAUUUUUAAUUCUCCAAUGACAACAGAGGCAUUUUCUAAAUUUUUCUCCAAUGGCUUGAACGCAGACUACUCAGAUAAUUUGUUCUGAAAAACUCAAUAAAUUAAUUCAAAUACAAGCUUUAAUGCACAAAAAUUAAAUCUGCAAUAUCUAGUUAUUUUGGAUGCUUCAAACAAACUUUAUUUUGUGUCUCGUAUAUUG
rnacentral:lncRNA from 10 species